AGAGUUUGAUCCUGGCUCAGAUUGAACGCUGGCGGCAUGCCUUACACAUGCAAGUCGAACGCGAAAGCGGGGCAACCCGCAAGUAGAGUGGCGAACGGGUGAGUAAUACAUCGGAACAUAUCCAGUAGCGGGGGAUAACCUGUCGAAAGAUAGGCUAAUACCGCAUACGAUCUACGGAUGAAAGCAGGGGACCGCAAGGCCUUGCACUAUUGGAGUGGCCGAUGUCAGAUUAGCUAGUUGGUGGGGUAAAAGCCUACCAAGGCGACGAUCUGUAGCUGGUCUGAGAGGACGAUCAGCCACACUGGAACUGAGACACGGUCCAGACUCCUACGGGAGGCAGCAGUGGGGAAUUUUGGACAAUGGGCGCAAGCCUGAUCCAGCCAUGCCGCGUGAGUGAAGAAGGCCUUCGGGUUGUAAAGCUCUUUCGGUGAAGACGAAACGGUUAGCGCUAAUAACGCUGACUAAUGACGGUACUCACAGAAGAAGCACCGGCUAACUACGUGCCAGCAGCCGCGGUAAUACGUAGGGUGCAGGCGUUAAUCGGAAUUACUGGGCGUAAAGCGUGCGCAGGCGGUUUGUUAAGGCAGGUGUGAAAUCCCCGGGCUUAACCUGGGAAUUGCGCUUGCAACUGGCAAGCUAGAGUGUGGCAGAGGGGGGUGGAAUUCCACGUGUAGCAGUGAAAUGCGUAGAUAUGUGGAGGAACACCGAUGGCGAAGGCAGCCCCCUGGGUUAACACUGACGCUCAUGCACGAAAGCGUGGGGAGCAAACAGGAUUAGAUACCCUGGUAGUCCACGCCCUA
rnacentral:rRNA from 1 species